AUCAAGCAAUAAUUUGCCCCACCUUGCUGGCAAAUGGACCAACUUUAAUGUUUGACCCCUGUACAAACUGAAACUGACCUUUGUCACUAUUUUUGCUGUCUCUAUCCCAUACCUCCAGAACCUUCAGUCAUACAGAGU